GGCAGUGUGGCAUAGUGAUUUGAGCACUGGACUGUGAUUCUGGAGACCAGGGUUUGACUCCCAGUUUGGCCA